UGACGAGUGUCAAGAAGGAAAGGACGACUGUGACAAGACGACAACUACGUGUAGCAAUUACCCAGGUCAUUUCCAGUGUAAAUGUAAACCGGGAUGCGAGUGGAAGGAUCACUCAUCUUGUAAACUCCUUCAGGCAAAGCAUGCUUCCACUUCAGCGCCGACAGACACUCUCAUGGUCAAUUUCAUCCUGCAAGAUGCACAAAAAAGACAAAAAUGCAAAAAAGAUGCGAAAGAUGCAAAAAGGAGAAAAAGGACAAAAUAAAUGAGGACACCUGCAAAGUUGUCUGCAAUCAUGGUUAUGUUCUCCACCAGCCAGCUGCUGAGAUCACAACUUGCGGCAAAGAUGGGCUCUGGGUUUCUGGUCUAACAUAUUGCAUAGGGAGGUCUGUGUUAAAACGUAAACUUCAACACUGAAGACGAAAAUCUACUCAAUAUCACUGAUAACGUUGAUGAAAAUAUCUUGCUGAACUUAAAUAGGAAGACCAUGUCCAUUAUUAAAAGACAUACCAAAUGGAUCUGUGCAAGCCGGCUUCAAACUAUACCUUGAUGCCUCCACUAGUUAUGGAGGUCGUUGCAAUUACUGGUGUAAUUCUGGGUACGAUCUGAAGGGAGUCAGCUACAGAAACUGUCAGGCGGAUGGUACAUGGAGUGGAACUGAACCGAUCUGUGAAAAAAGCCAUCCGAGGUCCCCCCAAAUCACUAAACUUGAGCCGGAAGACGUUGCUUCAGCCAGUGCAGGUGGGAACGUGGCGUUGAAAUGUUUCUCUGACGGAGAACCAACGCCUUCUGUUUACUGUUUACUGGGAGUAUUUAU